AAACUGACUUGCCCAGUGGCAAAACAUGAAGCCAGACUGAAGCUGGACCCCAAUGGGAUGAGUGUCAAUAUAGCUGUUGCCAGAAAAAUCUCUGUUUUGCUGUUUAGAGAGCAGCUCACGGCUUCCAAGUUGAAAUUCUUUUUCCACUCAGGUAUUUUUCAGUAAUUUUAAAGUAUACUAAAAUUGAACUCAUUAGUCAUUUAAUUAUUGGCUGCUCGCUCCUUCUUUUAUCCUUCUUAAUGGAUACAUCUCAUCCUGACUUCUCAGAGCUUAAAUUUCUACAUUUUGAUGGAGAGCAUGCCUGUGGUUUCACACUCCCAUUUGUUCUCUUCUGCUAAUGAUCCUUAUAACUGUUUUCUGUUUAUUUUUAUAGAUUGUCCAAUCUUCUUUACUAGGUUGUUUAUAUUUCUAAAAGGGCCUGAUUGAUUGCAAUUCUCCUUGCAUUCCUGUUAAACUUAAUGGUCUCUGUUGCCCUUUUCAUUUCUAAAUUUGAACUGAGAUGAAUUUCAAUUUCACUUUCAGGAACCAUUUCUGAACUAUGGAGAUUUAAGUAGAUCUGACCAGGAACUUCCUCAGGGACAAUUUUAAUUUUUCAAAUAAUUGGAAAUAAGUAAUAUUUAUUCCAAUAUAGACAUGUAGAGAUAAAUAGAUAGUAUCAUCAAUUCAUUCUGUUCAUCCUCCAUCUAGAUGCUUUUCUCUUCCAGUCCUUUGAAGAAAUAACCAGUACCAGUGGGCUGGAGGAGAUGGGCUUGCACUUGAGAUGCCAAGUCUUUUUCUUUUUCUUCUUUUUUUAAAUUUUUAUUAUUAUUAGUAGUAGUAUUUUGCUUUUUUUAAGGGACGCUUCCAUGGCAUGUGAGGUUUCCAAGCUAGGGGGCAAUUCAGAGCUACAGCUUCCAGCCUACACCACAGCCACAGCAACUCAGGAUCCAAACUACAUCAGCGACCUAGACUGCAGCUCACUGCAACACCGGAUCCUUAACCCACUCAGCAAGGCCAGGAUCAAACUGCAACCUCAUGGUUAGUAGUUGGAUUCGUUUCCACUGCACCACAAUAGGAACUCCUCUUUUCCUUUUUCUUCUGCAGUAAAACCAGUGCCAUUGGUGGAAGGACCUAGGCUGUCAAUAAGGAAUUGUCACCUUGACUUUGCCACUAAUUAGCUGUGUGCCCUCAGUCAGUCAAUUCAACUCCCCUUUCUUCACCUUAAUUUGCCCAUCUGUAAAAAGAUGGGACUAAAUUCAAUGAAUUCAAAGACCCCAUGUGUGUCUUUAAAGAUUAAGAAAACUGACAGACUCAUGAGCUUUUAAUAAUCAAACAAAUCUUGAUUCAUUUGCAGCAAUAUUCUGUGAAUUCACUGUCAAAUUAGAGUUUCUAAAGAUUUUUUUUAAAAAAAUCUAUCUUUAGAAAGCUCCACUUAGAGCUUAGCUCUUUUCCCACAUGACCCCAGUGAGUGGGAGAGCCCCUGACUUGCCUCUCACCACACUGCUACUAACAGCCUAGGAAUUCCAUAUAGGUUGGAAGGUAAAAUUGGGAAGCAGUAAGGCAGUAGGUGAUGUCAGACCGGGAAUAGGAGAGAAGAAAGUGCUUUAAUGCUAGUACAGUUUUCCACUUUUGAAAGGAACUGUCUAUAAAAAGAGAGACUGAGCACAAAGAACACAGAAAGCAGCCCUGCCUGUGGUUGCUGGAUGGAACUGGGACCAUUUGCCAGGAAAGAUAUCCAUGGAGAUGAAACUGUGGUAUAUGGGGGAUUCCUUUGUUUGCAAGAGUCACUCUCCCCUGCAUUAAACAUCUCAUUAAGUGUCUUCCUUAAUUUUUGUGAUGUCCAGAAGCUUUCAGAGAUAAUCUGAGCAGUCAGUGAACUGAUGUGUCUGCCAGGGCAUGAAUAGCGAAGAUUGUUCCGUGUUUGCCCUGGGUCUAUCAGCAGCAAUAAAUUGUAAUCGGUUAGGCAUUUUUCAAGCAUGCUACUGUUUGCCAAACACUAUUUUUGGCAGGCAUCUGUAACAAAGCCUAAUGCAUUAUGCAUAUUAUUUCCACAGUAUUUCAUUGUAUUAGCACAUGUAGUAUUUGUAUGGAAUUUUUGUAAAUUCAUUACCAAAGUAUUAUCAUAUUAAUGACUCUGGUUAAAGAAGUAUUAGAAAAAAAUAUUAAUAUUCAUAGAGAGUAUACAUCCUAUGGUGGGGAAAUGGGAAUCACCUAUUAUCACUUGAAUUUCAGAAAAAAAUUAGCAUGGGCAUGGGAAAAAUAAUGUAAAAACUACAUAGCAAAUGUGAAAAAAAAUUAAAAACCUGAAUCGCUUUGAUGUUUCCUUGAAGACUGAAGGUUCAUUUUCAGAACUGUAAUGACAAUCAUUAUUAUAGAUUAAAUUAUAUUGAGGGAUGAGUUUUAUUUAACAGCAUAAUUUAGUAAUGGAGAUCUGGAAAAUUUAUUCCAUCUCUCCAAGUAUUAGUUCUUUGAUAUCCUGAUCUGCUAAAGGCCACAUUCUCACUUCUGUUUCCAUCCUUCCCUGCAGUGGAGAAGGCAUUGGGCUUUUGAACUUUGUUUAACCUUUUUUCUUUCUAUUCUCUUAGAACAGGAAAACAAUAUAACAUGGUAAUAUUAUCUAUCUCCAUUGGAAGCUAUUCCAAUAAUUCAGUUCUCCCAUUAAGUGUAGGAUUUAGUUCUAUUAAAUGUCUCUUGGCCCACUCUUACUAUUCUUAUAACAUUGGGGAAAUUAGUAACAAAUUAUUUUCUUUACCCUUUUGGAGAUUGUAUUAUUUCCAGGGGUUCCUCACACCUUGAUUUGUAUUGUUCUUCUAAAUUUGACAAAUAAUGUCUAGAGCACUCUUCCCUUUAGAAACUAUUUUACAACGCAAUCGUUUCUUGCUGUCAGAAAAUGUUAGAGCUAUUCUUCUUUUCACAGGUUUUGAUUCAGAUAACACCUCUCUCCCAGAAGCUCAAAAACCUCAGCCAGUAUUGCUCUCUGCAGCUUCACAACAGCCUUUUGAUGGAGGGCAAUAUGUUCUCACUAUUAAAAAAAAAAAAAAA
rnacentral:lncRNA from 1 species